rnacentral:lncRNA from 1 species
AUGAAUUCAGUAUAUGCAGAAAUGAGCCUUGAUGUUAUCUGGGUGCUGUUCCCUCAGCAGGCAGGAGUCCCCGACUGUGCAGAGGACCACUACAUUGCUGUCUUACUGCAUAAGUCUCAGCAGCCCUACUACCACCAUCCUCAUGCUGCCUCCUUCCCACACCAAUCACUGCUAUUUAAGGCACUGCACUUGGGCUGGGACAGUCCCAAGUGUUUAUACAAAUUGGGGGAAGAUCUCCUCAUGAGCAGCCCUGCAGAGAAGGACUUGGGGAUCCUGGUGGAUGAGAGGCUGGACAUAAGCCAGCAGUGUGUGCUUGCAGCCCAGAAGGCCAACUGUGUUCUGGGCUGCAUUAAAAAAGGGGUGGCCAGCAGGGAGAGGGAGGUGAUUGUCCCCCUCUACUCAGCUCUUGUGAGGCCCCAUCUGCAGUACUGCAUCCAGGCCUGGGGACAUGGGUACAGGAAGGACAUGGAGCUCUUGGAGUGGGUCCAGAGGAGGGCCACUAAGAUGAUCAGAGGGCUGGAGCACCGCUCCUGUGAGGGAAGGCUGGGGGAACUGGGAUUGUUUAUCUUGGAAAAGAGACAGCUCAUUGUGGCCUUCCAGUAUUUGAAGGGAGCACAUAAACAGGAAGGGAAACAGCUAUUUAGAAGGGUGGACAGGGAUAGGACAAGGGGGAAUGGUCUUAAACUGAGACAGGGGAGGUUUACAUUAGAUAUUAGGAGGAAGUUUUUCACACGGAUGGUGAUGCUGCACUGGAACAGGUUGCCCAAGGAGGCUGUGGAUGCCCCAUCCCUGGAGGCAUUCAAGGCCAGGCUGGAUGUGGCUGUGGGCAGCCUGGUCUGGUGGUUGGUCACCCUGCACAUACCAGGGGGAUUAAAACCAGAUGAUCAUUGUGGUCCUUUUCAACCUAGACCAUUCUAUGAUUCUAUGGGUCCUGUUCCCAUCCACUUUGGAAAUGAGCCUUUCUCAGCAGGGCUGGUGUCAAAGUGUUGUCACUGUGUGGGCAGUGAAAGGAGCUCAGUCCUGUGGGAUACAUUUCAAAUUUGA